GGAGAGGUGGCCGAGUGCUGAAGGCACCCCGAUGGCUAUCGGGGCGUAGGUGUCAAAACCUACCGCGAGUUCGAAUCUCGCCCUCUCCG
rnacentral:tRNA from 1 species